ensembl:lncRNA
GGAUUCGCCGCCACAUCCCGGUACUCUUUUCUCCGCCGCCCUUGAAAGAGAACGUCCUAUGUGAAAGAUAGCACUAGUUGGUCCCUGGAGACUGCUGUCUGGUUGGAGAGUCACCUGCUCCCCUCCAUGGAGACAGACCAGACUGAUCAACAGUCGGCUGGAGGGAGUUGGUGGUUAUGGUUACAGAAGUCAUCAAAAGAGAGCGCCUGGGGAAUAGGAGUGGAGCUAGGCACUGCAGGUCUUGGAUUCACCUCUACAUCACCAGAGGAACAGAGGAGGAGUUGGUGGUUGACCCAUCAGAGGAGUUUUAUUAUGGAUGGCUACAGGUCAUGACCUUUCCCAUCUUCUACAUCUGGGUUCUCUUCAUCUGCAUAUGCUUACAUCAAAUGUAGGAGUGAAGCUAGGCACUGCAGGUCCUGGAUUAACCUCUACAUCACCAGAGGAACAGAGGAGGAGUUGGUGGUUGACCCAUCAGAGGAGUUUUAUUAUGGAUGGCUACAGGUUUCCUGGAGCACGCUUCCUGUUGAGGAAACGGCAGGAGAAGUUCCACCCCCAUUCAUUUCCAAUGAGGGCAUGCAGAGAAACGUGAGGGGGAUUGUGGGAAGCUGAGCGGUAAAGACCUCUGCUAGAGGAACGGUCGAAAAGGAUCAGUUUUAUUCAAAUUUCAAGCAAAGCGAAGCAUUGGAGAAAAGUGUGGUCAAGAGGAGGUACCGCCCCUGGUCAAAACCCACUGUCAGAGUAGGAGGUUCUGGUCUUUAUUCAGUCCAUGGCCACGUUUGGCUGGAGGUGCACGGGAAGCAGUUGACACUCACCAGGGGUUGACCCUCACCAGGGGUUGACCCUCACCAGGGGUUGAUCCUCACCAGGGGUUGACCCUCACCAGGGGUUGACCCUCACCAGAGGUUGACCCUCACCAGGGGUUGACCCUCACCAGGGGUUGAUCCUCACCAGGGGUUGACCCUCACCAGGGGUUGAUCCUCACCAGAGGUUGACCCUCACCCCUGGUCUCAUCUCUCCAAGCUUAUGCUCUACACAUAUUCAUGCUGGAAGGCUGGCCUGUACAUCGGUUUCGGGUCCGAACGCUGGAUCGACCCCGACAUCUCCAACCCUGUAUUCGCCUCGUUGAGGCACCAGUACUUCUACUUCUUCUGGUUCUCUGUGCAUAUCUUCACCACUGUGGGCGACAUGACUACCUGUUUAUGAUGGCAGACCUGCUGAUCACCAUGCUGGUGUUUGCCUCCAUCGUGGGACAUGCCCAGACUGGCUAAUCCUACCUCAUCCAAACGUCUUCCAUUUAAGAAUGAUGGAGGCCAUUGUUUACUUGGUGACCUUCAAAGCUGCAGAAAUGUUUUAGUACCCUUCCCCAGAUCUGUGCCCCGACACAAACCUGUCUCGGAACUCUACAGAGAAUUCCUUUGACCUCGUGGCUAAUGGCUCUGUCAUGCACUGUCAACUGUGGGACCUUAUAUAGACGUGUGUGCCUUUCCAAAUCAUGUCCAAACAAUUGAAUCUACCACAGGUGGACUCAAAUCAAGUUGUAGAAACAUCUCAAGGACGAUUAAUGGAAACAGGAUGUACCUGAGCUCAAUUUCGAGUCUCAUAGCAAAUGGCCUGAAUUCUUAUGUAAAUAAGGUUGUGCCUGGAUUUUAUUUUUUGUACAUUUGCAAAAAUGUCUAAAAACCUGUUUUCACUUUCAUUGUGGGGUAUUGUGAUGUCAUUGUGGGGUAUUGUGAUGUCAUUGUGGGGUGUUGUGAUGUCAUUAUGGGGUAUUGUGAUGUCAUUAUGGGGUGUCGUGUGUAGAUUGAUGAGGGGAAAAAAUGAAUUAUCAAUUUUAGAAUAAGGCUGUAACGUAACAAAAUGUGGAAAAAGUCAAGGGGUCUGAAUACUUUCCAAAUGCAUUGUAAUACCACAAGAAGCUGUUCUCUUUCUGCACCAACCUUGACAGGAAAGUGCUAACCAACGUACCAUGACGACAUAGCCAUUUUACCUUGAUAGGGGAGCAGA